UGCCAGACUCCUACGGGAGGCAGCAGUGGAGGAUAUUGCACAAUGGGGGGAACCCUGAUGCAGCGACGCCGCGUGGGUGAAGAAGCGCCUCGGCGCGUAAAGCCCUGUCAGCAGGGAAGAAAAUGACGGUACCUGAAGAAGAAGCCCCGGCUAACUACGUGCCAGCAGCCGCGGUAAUACGUAGGGGGCAAGCGUUAUCCGGAUUUACUGGGUGUAAAGGGGGCGCAGACGGCGAUGCAAGCCAGGAGUGAAAGCCCGGGGCCCAACCCCGGGACUGCUCUUGGAACUGCGUGGCUGGAGUGCAGGAGGGGCAGGCGGAAUUCCUGGUGUAGCGGUGGAAUGCGUAGAUAUCAGGAGGAACACCGGUGGCGAAGGCGGCCUGCUGGACUGCAACUGACGUUGAGGCCCGAAAGCGUGGGGAGCAAACAGGAUUAGAUACCCCAGUAAA
rnacentral:rRNA from 1 species